AUUUAAAUAGCUUAAAAUUAGAGCAUAAUAUUGAAGAUAUUAGGGUGAUAUUUUAUAUCUUUAAAUA
rnacentral:tRNA from 2 species